rnacentral:lncRNA from 1 species
AGACCACCCACAUUUGCACAGAUGCUGCUGCUAUAGUACUUUCAGGCAAGGCCAAGGCUUCUUGAAAGGCUGGUCAUGCCCCAGUGAUCAAUGAAGAACUCAGGGAUAUCCCAAAACUCAGGACUAUAAGGCACAAUGGGGGAGCAGGUACCAGGUGGCCAGCAUCCUAAAUGACUCUCAGCAGCUGCAGAGAAGAAAGAGGCAUUACCAUAUCAAAGCCUUUAGCCUUCUUGCAUCACGACAAAAAUUCGAACUUGGUGUUUGAAGAACAUGAAAAAUGAGGAGGAAUAAAAUAAUCAUGAGUCUCCUGGUCAUUAACUGCAUGAAGUUGAGCUGGUCACUUAAGCCAUUCCUAAUAUGUAACUUGAGAGUAUAGUAUUAGAUAUUCAGUAAAUUCCCUUCAAAAUUCAU